AUAUAUAUUCCAGAGAGCGAGAGAGAGAGAGAGAGGGGAGCAUAGCCAUAAACAAAUCUCGCUUGAGCGUCUUGGUUCACUGAUUUAAUGCCACAAACAGAUUGCAGAUUGUAACCUGCAGCCGCGCCCCUCUGCAGCAACCAUCUUCAGCUCCAGCUCCAGCUACAGCUCCAGCCCCAGCACCGACUCCCAUCUGCAGCCACCAGCCACCAGCCACCACCUUCCACCUCCACCUCGAACUCCUGCCGCUGCUGCUGCUUCUUGGUCAACCUGCUCUUGCUUGGAAGCUUGUUUCUGCGGAAGAGCAGCCGCCGCGCCGGUGGAGCGCCAGACCCGGCA